rnacentral:rRNA from 1 species
AUGGGCGAAAGCCUGGUGCAGCGACGCCGCGUGAGGGAUGAAGGCCUUCGGGUUGUAAACCUCUUUCAGCAGGGACGAAGCGGAAGUGACGGUACCUACAGAAGAAGCACCGGCUAACUACGUGCCAGCAGCCGCGGUAAUACGUAGGGACUUCC